rnacentral:lncRNA from 1 species
AUUGUAUUACAAUAAAUCAGCUACAUGAAAUUCAAUUUUUGUAGGAAUGGUGUACGUGCACGUAUGUUUGCUAUAUGGAUCUCAGUCAGCGUUGGCAUUGGUAGACCGUGGUUGCGGAUACGUAAACCUUGUUGACACAAUCAUGUCAGAGUUCAGCUUGGAUCCUACGAAGGUGGCAGUGUCACUGAAGUAUGUCCNNNNNNNNNNNNNNNNNNNNNNNNNNCAUUCUGCUGAAGGAAGGCGAUCGCGAACCUGCUAAAUACCCAUUAGUCAUCGAUGUUACCGAUGCAGCAAUAGAGAAGCCAUCUAACACGGCUCCAUAUACUGCUUACCAUAGCAGCGAGCUUCAUACAUUGCAGGAUAUGGCAGCUGAAAUAUGCAAAGCAUCGAGUGAACAUGUAGAUCACAUUUACGACAACGAGGUCACAGUUGUUUCAGUUGCAGAAGCUGGGGAGGUCGAAGAAGGAAGGGUUUUCCGUGAUAAGGAGAUUUUAAAAUUGAGCCUAUCCUUGUUUGCCAUAAGGAAUAUGUUUAAGUUCAUGGUUGAGCGGUCAGACAAGAAAGAAUAUGUUGUGAGGUGUUCAUAGGAAGGAUGUAGUUGGAUAUGCAGAUUGUUGAAAUGGGACAAAACGGAUCUAUUUAAGAUUCGAAAGAUUGGUAGUCACACAUGUGCAUCAAAUGUAGUGUUGGGGUCAAAUAGACAAGUCACAACCGCAGUUGUUUCAUCUAGAAUUAAGUAUAAGUACACAUCGUCCAGCACCAUAUACACACCAAAGGAUAUAUGCAGUGAAAUGUUGCAUACUUUUGGAGUUUAUUUGAACUACACGAAAGCUUGGAGAUGCCGUGAACAAACCUUGAAGAUGAUUAUGGGUGAUCCAACCGAAUCAUUCAGUAGGAUACCAAGUUUCUUC